rnacentral:tRNA from 1 species
GUAGUCGUGGCCGAGCGGUUAAGGCGAUAGACUAGAAAUCUGUUGGGGUCUUCCCCGCGCAGGUUCGAAUCCUGCCGACUACG